rnacentral:tRNA from 1 species
GUCCCUGUAGCUUAACUGGAUAGAGCAAUUGCUUGCGGAGCAAUAGAUUGCCCGUUCAAAUCGGGCCAGGGACACUA